AAUGGCCUAAAACUUCAACAUAGGAAGUUCCGUACUAAAAUCGAUGGUCUCUUGAGGUCGUUUCCAACCCCUGUGAUUCUGUGAAAGAUUUUGAAUAUGAAUAACCGGAAAGAUAAAAUUGACUGGGAGUUAAUGACAUUUCUUGCCUAGAAGAAAGAUAUUAAAGAAGAAGAAUAUUAAAGAAGAAGGAUAUUAAAGAAGAGCCAUUGUAGUGAUUCACUCUGGGAUCGUAGUUAACUUGCUAAAUAUUUUCCAGGUGUGUAUUCACUCAAAUAUCUAUACAAAAUGUUUUAUAAUGAGGGCAAGAGUCUGAGGUAAUGGGAGAUCCGGGUAGUUAAAAGCUGGACAAACUGGUUGGCAGCACAUAGGAUGGAUGCUUCCUCAUGACAUUCAGUGUUCCUGCUGUUUGGGGUUACAUCCAGACACGCAUGGAGUAUUUACUUUUUAUGUGAAUGUGCUUAUUGUGUGCUGGUUCUUGCUAAAAGCUUUAUGGCAUUGGUUCUCCUUCUGCAGUAGUAAAGAUGGCAGCUAUGAGGAAAUGUUCCUGUGCUGCUGAUGGGGCUGUGAAGCUGAGAUUUAUAAUUUCUCACAGCUGAGAAAGCCAAACAGAACAAAUGCUGUUGGGCUGGUAAAACACUCAUUCUUCAUCAUUUGUAAGACAACCAGUGGAUAAUUGUUUACAAACUGUUUUCUCCACAUCCCUAGAACCAUUGCUGGUUUUUGUGACUGCUUCUGUUCUGCACUCCUGACAAGUGCUAUUUGAAGUAAGCGGUGCUUGCCAGUACUGCAGUCCUUCAGUGGAAAGUGGAGGCUUCCGUGCAGGGUUCUUAUAAUUGAUAUAGUGGGGUACAGUCAGUACUGAUGAAAAUGUUGAUGGUGUUUUAUAUGUGCUUAGACCAAACUUGCUUCCUUAGCUAGCACUGAGACUAGAUAUAUUUUGCAGUAAAAGCUUACUUACAUGAAUUUAAUAGCAUGUUGAGGCAGUGGAGCUUCAAUUGGUCUACAUAUAUGUGUGUAAGAUGGAAGUCACUCCUAUGGACGGCUGCAGAUGUGGUCCUUAAAUGUUCACUUAAAUCAUUUCAAUUCGUUAAUUUGUUCUUCUUAACUUUUCCUGGAUUAUAUUCAUUGCUUUCUGCACAUUGCUUUUUCUUUGCUCGCCUUUUUAGAACAGUAAUAGUAUGUGGGAUAUUACUGCACACAAAUGGCAUGGACACAUGUAACAGGGCAACAAUACGGUAUGUUUUUUCAGAACUGCACUGGCAGUACUCCCUCUCACAUGGUUAAGGUCAAACCAAAUGUAGAUGCUCUGCUCUACUUAAAAGCCAAAACACUCAGCAUAGGCAACUGGAAUUUUUGCCUUUUUUGAGCAAUUUACAAAAGAGCUUCCUUAAUCUUAAGGCAUACUACAUACUACAUGUGGAGUAGUACUCCACAAAGAAAUAGGUAAAGCAGGGCAGACAAUUGUGCAUAAUUUUAAAAUGGUAAUUCAAAACAUUCUAUCACAAAACGCAUGAUCCCAUCAGAAUUUUCCCCAAGUUUGUGGGCAUUUAAUUUCAUGGUUUCAUUUCUUUUCAUCAUAGUGCUGGAUCAAAGGUAGAAGAUUAAAAUCCAAAUUGACUUUAAAUUCACAGCGUACUGUCUAAGAAUGAGGCUGUGCCAUUUGAAAUUGGUGUGAGGUCUGUAUGGAAACUGAAUGUGCUCUGAUGUAAAAAUCAGACAGGUGACAGCAGUGUCUUAUAACCAGGCUAUGUGUAUUUGUGCACAUUUGGAAAAUGUGAUCCGUGUGUGAAAUAUAAUAUUAAAACAUUUGAGUAUAUUUGCAAACCUAAAUGUUACUGCAAUAAUAUAGCAAGCAUACAUUUGUUUAAAAAAUACCACAGAAUGCAGUAAUCUUUAGUCACUGUUUCUAUAUGUUAUGUCUAAUUUUGAGGUUAUUUUUAGUAUGUCAUUUACUAGAAAGCAUUUAGUUCACUCAGACAACUCUAAUAAAUGUUUUAC
ensembl:lncRNA